UAGGGAAUCUUCCGCAAUGGGCGAAAGCCUGACGGAGCAACGCCGCGUGAGUGAUGAAGGUCUUCGGAUCGUAAAACUCUGUUAUUAGGGAAGAACAAAUGUGUAAGUAACUAUGCACGUCUUGACGGUACCUAAUCAGAAAGCCACGGCUAACUACGUGCCAGCAGCCGCGGUAAUACGUAGGUGGCAAGCGUUAUCCGGAAUUAUUGGGCGUAAAGCGCGCGUAAGCGGUUUUUUAAGUCUGAUGUGAAAGCCCACGGCUCAACCGUGGAGGGUCAUUGGAAACUGGAAAACUUGAGUGCAGAAGAGGAAAGUGGAAUUCCAUGUGUAGCGGUGAAAUGCGCAGAGAUAUGGAGGAACACCAGUGGCGAAGGCGACUUUCUGGUCUGUAACUGACGCUGAUGUGCGAAAGCGUGGGGAUCAAACAGG
rnacentral:rRNA from 1 species